rnacentral:lncRNA from 1 species
GUUUUAAAAGCAAUGAAAAAUGAUAAAAGUCCAGGAUCAUCAGGUUUUACAGCUGAAUUUUUCAAAGUUUUUUGGGGAAAAAUUGGUCCAUUUGUAGUAAGAUCCAUAAAUUAUGGUUUUGAAAAAGGUCAACUCUAUGUUACACAGAGACAAGGUAUAAUUACAUGUAUACCUAAAGGAGACAAACCACGACAGUUUCUUAAAAACUGGAGACCAAUUACUCUCCUAAAUACUUCUUACAAAAUUGCAUCAGGGGUUAUUGCUAAUCGAUUUAAAAAAGUAUUGGGAAAUUUGAUUGAUCCUGAUCAAACUGGCUUUGUUCUAGGUCGAUUUAUAGGAGAAAACACAAGAUUGUUAUAUGACUUGAUGCAAAUUGCAGAAGAAAAAAACCUACCAGGACUUCUCCUAUUUGUCGACUUCGAAAAAGCCUUCGACUCAUUAUCAUGGGAUUUCCUACAAGAAGUAUUAAAAAUUUUUUCAAUUUUGGACAAUCUAUUCGUAAUUGGGUGAGAAUUUUCUACUCUAAUAUUAAUUCAGCUGUAAACCAAGGGGGUAAUUUAUCAGAUUUUUUUAACAUUGAACGGGGUUGUAGACAAGGCGAUCCGCUUUCUCCUUAUUUGUUUAUAUUGUGUGCUGAAAUACUAGCUAUUAAGCUUCGCAACAAUAAGAAAAUAAAAGGGUUAAAAUCUGUUAGUAUUGAAAAUAAAUUGUCUCAAUUUGCUGAUGAUACUGCUAUUAUUUUAGAUGGAUCUGAAGAAUCUCUAAUGGAAAGCAUGAAAGACCUUAAUUAUUUUUGGGAAAUCUCAGGUUUAAAAAUUAACUACAGUAAAACCCAGGUUGUAUGGAUUGGCAGUAUGAAAUACAGUCAGAAUGAACUUUGUACUAGCUUAAACUUAUCAUGGGGUAAACAUAAUUUUUCGUACCUUGGAAUAGACUUUGAUGUAGAUUUAUCAAAGAUGAUACGAUUAAAUUAUGAUAAAAAAAUAUUGGAGAUUGAAUCUCUUUUAAAGCAAUGGAGCAAGAGAAACUUAACUCCUAUUGGGCGUAUUACAGUGGUUAAAACAUUGGCAUUGCCAAAGCUUAUCCAUCUGUUUUCAUCAUUGCCAAAUCCAGACUCCAGAUUUAUUCAAAAACUUGAUACCUUGUUUUUAUAGUUUUGUUUGGCAAAAACCAGUUGGUAAAGUUAAGAGAGAAACAUUAGUGAAAGAUUAUUUUGAAGGGGGUCUAAAAAUGAUUUGUUUGAAACCUUUCAUAAAAUCACAGAAAUGUACAUGGGUUAGAAGGUUGAUCAAUAAUAAAAAAUUACAGGAAACUCUUGCUUUCUAUGGGAUUGAUUUUGACUUAUUAGAAAAUACAGGUGUCAAAAACAUAGAAAAAAGUAUGAAUGUAUGCACAAAUCCAUUUUGGAAAGAUGUUUUGAGUGCCUGGAAAGAAAUUGUUGCAUUAAAUAUUGAAUAUACAUGGGAAUAUUUUUUGAAUAUGCCUUUAUGGUUUAAUGAGAAAAUUAGAAUAGAAAAUGAUGUUGUUUUCUACAAAGACUGGUAUGAGAAAGGUGUACACAUUGUAAAUGAUUUAUUAGAUGGAGCCGGAGAAUUUUUUUCUCUGACUGAAUUCCAGAAGGUGUAUCAAAUAGGUACAGAUUUUCUGAAAUAUUAUGGCUUAAUAAAUUGUGUUAAACAGUAUUCACAACAUUUUGUUAAAAAUGCUACAUCUCCAAUUAAGAAUUGUUACCCAAGCAUUCCUAAUAAUAUCAAGAUUUUUUUUUAAACAUAAAAAAGGUUCUAAAGAUAUGUACCUCAUAUUGAGAAAAAAUCUUACGGAACCAACAAAUAAAAUGAAAAUUAUGGAAAAGUUUGGUGUCACUAAUGAUGAAAUGAAACUCAUUUAUACACUUCCAUUUAAAACUACUACAAAUAGUAGAGCACAGUGGUUCCAAUACAGGAUAAACCACUUAGUUUUGACUACUAAUUAUUUCCUGGAAAAGAUAAAACUUGUACAAAGCCCUCUUUGUACUUUUUGUAAUAUACAACCAGAAACCAUUAUACACUUAUUGUGGGAAUGUGAAGAAGUACAAAUUUUGUUAGAAAAUUUUGAUACAAGGACUUCAUCUACAGCACAUGUAACACUUAACUAUAAUUGUAAGACUUUUGUAUUCGGUAUUUUUGAUGCUAGAAACUGUAUUGUACAAAAUAAGAUAUUGCUCUGUAUUAAAUAUUAUAUUUAUUCAAGUCGAUGUUUGAAAAAAGUUCUAUCACUUCAGGCACUCAAACAUAAGUUAAAUGAUCUGUACUGUACUGAAAAAAACUGUAGCUAUUUACAAACAAAAACAAGAACAGUUUGAGAGAGAAUGGAAUAGCUGGCACUUUCUGUGUUUAUACUGAGAACAAUCACACAAAUACAUGAGACGUUUGUUUUUUAAAUUUGCUAAUGAAACCUAUAAAUCUGGCUCUUUACUCUCCAUCUUUCUUGAAUCAGAAACCAUAUAAUGGCAGUAAUAUAUAGAGCAAACCACAAAUGACCAAUUCUUCUUUUUUUUCCCUAAAAAUUUCAAACUUGUAUUUGUUUUUUUGUUAGAUUUUUUUUUUGUUGUUAUUCUUUUGACAAACUUUGGAUUUUUUUCUUUUAUUUUUUUCUAUCAAUUUUUUUUUCUUCUUCAAAAUUUUACUAUAGAAAUAAAACAAAACAUAGACAAAUUAGUUUGCAGCAGAAAACUCAAACUGUUCUUAAGAAUAAGUAAUUAUAAGAAGUAUUACAAUUAACUUAAUUAUGAUUAUCUGUAAUUGUAUUACCUGCAUUGUAAAGAAUAAUUUAUAUACCUUUG